UUAGAAGUGAGAAUGCCGGUAUGAGUAGCGAAAGACAGGUGAGAAUCCUGUCCACCGAAUGACUAAGGUUUCCUGGGGAAGGCUCGUCCGCCCAGGGUUAGUCGGGACCUAAGCCGAGGCCGACAGGCGUAGGCGAUGGACAACAGGUUGAUAUUCCUGUACUCGUUGUUUUUGUUUGAGCAAUGGA
rnacentral:rRNA from 1 species